rnacentral:rRNA from 1 species
CCGCGUGUAUGAAGAAGGCCGGGUUGUAAGAAAGUACUUGCAGCGGGGAGGAAGGUGUUGUGGUUAAUAACCUCAGCAAUUGACGUUACCCGCAGAAGAAGCACCGGCUAACUCCGUGCCAGCAGCCGCGGUAAUACGGAGGGUGCAAGCGUUAAUCGGAAUUACUGGGCGUAAAGCGCACGCAGGCGGU